GACGAACGCUGGCGGCGUGCCUAAUACAUGCAAGUUGAGCGCUGAAGGUUGGUACUUGUACCAACUGGAUGAGCAGCGAACGGGUGAGUAACGCGUGGGGAAUCUGCCUUUGAGCGGGGGACAACAUUUGGAAACGAAUGCUAAUACCGCAUAAAAACUUUAAACACAAGUUUUAAGUUUGAAAGAUGCAAUUGCAUCACUCAAAGAUGAUCCCGCGUUGUAUUAGCUAGUUGGUGAGGUAAAGGCUCACCAAGGCGAUGAUACAUAGCCGACCUGAGAGGGUGAUAGGCCACAUUGGGACGGAGACACGGCCCAAACUCCUACGGGAGGCAGCAGUAGGGAAUCUUCGGCAAUGGACGAAAGUCUGACCGAGCAACGCCGCGUGAGUGAAGAAGGUUUUCGGAUCGUAAAACUCUGUUGGUAGAGAAGAACGUUGGUGAGAGUGGAAAGCUCAUCAAGUGACGGUAACUACCCAGAAAGGGACGGCUAACUACGUG
rnacentral:rRNA from 1 species